UCCAGACUCCUACGGGAGGCAGCAGUGGGGGAUAUUGCACAAUGGGGGGAACCCUGAUGCAGCGACGCCGCGUGGGUGAAGGAGCGUUUCGGCGCGUAAAGCCCUAUCGGCAGGGAAGAAGGAGGACGGUACCUGACUAAGAAGCCCCGGCUAACUACGUGCCAGCAGCCGCGGUAAUACGUAGGGGGCAAGCGUUAUCCGGAUUUACUGGGUGUAAAGGGGGCGCAGACGGCAGCGCAAGCUAGGAGUGAAAGCCCGGGGCCCAACCCCGGGACUGCUCUUGGAACUGCGCGGCUGGAGUGCAGGAGGGGCAGGCGGAAUUCCUGGUGUAGCGGUGAAAUGCGUAGAUAUCAGGAGGAACACCGGUGGCGAAGGCGGCCUGCUGGACUGCAACUGACGUUGAGGCCCGAAAGCGUGGGGAGCAAACAGGAUUAGAUACCCUCGUA
rnacentral:rRNA from 1 species